UAGUAAGGGGAGGGGGAAUCAAUCCUACUGUGGCUGUUAACACCAAAAGACAUGGGGACCUGAGCCAGAAAAGGCUGGCUCGCUUACGAAUUCAUGUUGCUGUGAAGAAAAACAAAACUGAAAAAAACACAACAAAACAGCCAAACCCACUAAACAAAAAUACCUUGCACAAAAAGCAAAGACGGGAAGACAAAUAUAGAAGCAUUACUCUUGAAUUUCCUGGCUUUGUUGAUUCCAGCCGCAAAGUGAACAUUAAAAUGCCAAGAUUCACAUUUUAAUAUUCCCUUGAAAUCAGAAAAACAAUAGCUCUUUCAGGAUUUGAAAGGACACUGGAAGGCUCGUAAUAUUUUAUUGAGUCAAUUUGCUAUUUACAUACUCGUAAGGGGCUUAAAAAAGAAGCGAAACGGAAGAUGUUCUCAACAGACAGAAAUAAAAUAUUCCAAUCUAUUGUUCCAGUUUAUGGCUCAGAUCGAAAUAAUGGGCCACAAAACCUAUCAGAAACUAGUUGCGCAGUGCGUGCCUCGCGGCCGGCCAAUGAACAGCAACGUCUCGGCUCUCCUCCCGCCGACAGCACUUCAAAGACACUUUUCUUUCUUUAAAGAGCCCGACCUCUCGGUUACGCUAGCGCUCGGCACCUUUGUCAGGUCUCCCAGCUCGCGUAGCCCGGCCCUCUUCUAUUUGCGGAGCGCCACUACGGUUCAAGGCAGUGGCAUCCAAACCGAUCGGCCACCCCCACCGCACGAGGCUCCCAAAGCGCCUCCAUUCUCAGGGUGAACUACGGCUUCCCACGGUGGUGUUCGGGGCGCGGCCCAAUAAAACGCACUCCCUUCACCGAGCGAGGGUAGGGGUGACGGGCCUCCCUGUGGAAGGGCUCAGAGGGCAGAGGGGACUUGGGACUGUGCGCACGCCCCUCCGCGGCUAGGCGGGGGGAGCGCACACGCCCUGCGCCCGCAGCGCUGCGGCACGGCGGCGGAGCCCCAGCCCAGAGGCGAAGAACAAAGGGGACGCGCUCGCCUUCGCUGCUGGGGGCUGCCCGGGCGCCGUCGCCAGCCCCGCCCCCCGCCGGCCGCGGCGGCGCGCGCCCCUCCCCCGUCCCGCUGCCCCCUCGGCCCCGCGAAAUGGCGGCCGCGCCACAAAAUGGCAGCCGCGCCGAGUCCCGAGCCGGCGCUGACGGAGAAAUAAAAGGCGCCGCGGGCCUCUCCCCGCUCCCCCCCCCCCCACCUCCGCCCCCCGAGCGCGACAAUGCCCGCCCGGGCUUCCUUGUGGUGGCGGUCGGGGGCGAUCCUCCCUGGGCACGGGUACGCCUUCGCGCCCCACACUCCGGCGACCGCUUCUCGACUCCGCAAACCAGGCGGCGCCUUUGUGCGUGUGCCGCCUUUGCGCUUCCAAACUUGCCCCGCUGCCGGAGGCUCUCACUUAAGGGGCCAAAACCUGGAGAGAACCGAACGUCGCACAACAGCCAGGCAACCCCUGCCCGCCCAAGACGUUCCUCGGGCUGGCGCGGGCAGGGAGCACCCCUUUCUAGUGUCUGCACGCCCGCAGCUUUAGCUCUUGGCCAUCAAAGUGAAGACAGGAAGAGGGACCAAAUGACACCCCCCCCCCAAAUGAGGGGGAGAUUGAGGAAACAGGGGUUAAGGAGUCCCCGAACCGGCACUUCGGCAGCCGCGUAGAAUCUCAAUGCGGAGCCCACGCUCGAGACCCAGAGGAGAGCCACGGGCGGCCCACGAGUGCACGGGCAGCUCCAGAGGGCGGAUGUCGGCUUGCGCUCCAUGCAAACCUCCACCCUUGAAUUUUUCUUCAGCAUGAUUUUAACUGAAGUCUGCAUUCAAGGUGAGAUAUCCCCGUCUCUAAGUGCAAGACCCUAUUUUCUGAAUCCUUGUCUUUGUUAGUUGCCCCUCUUAAUGCAGUUGAGCUGAAUCUCUUCUGUUCUUCAUGAUGACACUUUGGUCUUUCCCAAGAAGCUUCAGCUAAUUCAUAGCCUAUCAGGAUUUAAAUAAAUCAUUUACAUCAUAUUUUAAAACGUGUUUCAAAUUGUGGUUGCUUAUAUUGAAAUUCAUGCUUCAUGGAAACAUGCAUUUUAGUUCAACGCUAACUGCAUCUGUAUAUACAGGGCUAUAUAGUUCAGGGGUUUAGGUUAAUAGUGUGCUGGCCUGACACUCCUUAUGUGAUAGUUGAUGUGACAGAGAAAUGGCCAAAUGUAAAUGACUUAUCCUACAUCUGAAUGUGGUUUGAUUUGCUUUUACUGAGAAAUCAAUUCCAGAAUAUUUUCAAGAACACACAUUUCCAUUUCAUUUAAUGACUGAUUUGCAUGAAUACAAGACGAACUUCUGGGGUGGCACUAAUACCUUAACUAAAUUAUGAAUGAGUGCCACUAUUAGGGUAGGGCUUUUCUGUUUCUAACUCUUUGCCACCACCUCUUUCUGUUUCUGACUUACUGAAGUUCCCAAACAGUAAAAAAAAAAAAAAAAAAAAAAAAAAAAAAAAAAAAAGUUGAAAUAGAAAA